AUGAACGCUGGCGGCGUGCCUAAUCCAUGCAAGUAGCACGCUGAAGCUUGGUGCUUGCACCGAGCGGAUGAGUUGCGAACGGGUGAGUAACGCGUAGGUAACCUGCCUCUUAGCGGGGGAUAACUAUUGGAAACGAUAGCUAAUACCGCAUAAAAGUCGAUAUCGCAUGAUAUUGAUUUGAAAGGUGCAAAUGCAUCACUAAGAGAUGGACCUGCGUUGUAUUAGCUAGUUGGUGAGGUAACGGCUCACCAAGGCGACGAUACAUAGCCGACCUGAGAGGGUGAUCGGCCACACUGGGACUGAGACACGGCCCAGACUCCUACGGGAGGCAGCAGUAGGGAAUCUUCGGCAAUGGGGGCAACCCUGACCGAGCAACGCCGCGUGAGUGAAGAAGGUUUUCGGAUCGUAAAGCUCUGUUGUAAGAGAAGAACGAGUGUGAGAGUGGAAAGUUCACACUGUGACGGUAACUUACCAGAAAGGGACGGCUAACUACGUG
rnacentral:rRNA from 1 species